rnacentral:rRNA from 1 species
CGUCCUACGGGGGGCUGCAGUGGGGAAUAUUGCACAAUGGGCGAAAGCCUGAUGCAGCAACGCCGCGUGAGGGACGACGGCCUUCGGGUUGUAAACCUCUUUUAGCAGGAAAGAAGCGAAAGUGACGGUACCUGCAGAAAAAGCGCCGGCUAACUACGUGCCAGCAGCCGCGGUAAUACGUAGGGCGCAAGCGUUAUCCGGAAUUAUUGGGCGUAAAGAGCUCGUAGGCGGUCUGUCGCGUCUGCUGUGAAAACCCGAGGCUAAACCUCGGGCCUGCAGUGGGUACGGGCAGACUAGAGUGCGGUAGGGGAGAUUGGAAUUCCUGGUGUAGCGGUGGAAUGCGCAGAUAUCAGGAGGAACACCGAUGGCGAAGGCAGAUCUCUGGGCCGUAACUGACGCUGAGGAGCGAAAGGGUGGGGAGCAAACAGGAUUAGAUACCCCAGUAGUCUC